rnacentral:miRNA from 1 species
AAUGUAGGAUGCCAAGGUAAAUUUGAAUUUCAGAUAAAUAGCAAUGUUUAGUAUAAGUAUAUCCCAGUAUUGCAUGGGACAUACUUAUACUAAAUAAUUCUUUGUCAUGUAUCUGAAAUUCAAAUUAACUGGGCAUCCUUUAUUUU